AGUGGUUGUUGUUCAGAUAAAGUUUGUUUUUUAGGUAAAUACUUGGGGGGACUGACAUGAAAUGUCUCCCCCCAAGUGUAUUUAAUCCUCCCAGUAUUCCAUAUGGAGAGGGGGGAAACAUGCAUAAUGCUGUGUUGAAUUCAUUGGACAAGCUAGACAGUUUUUCAGAUAACCUAUGGAUAUUCCUGACUCAGGAAUUUUUCCUACAAAUUAACAUCAAGAGUGACUAUGUGGAUUCCUAGAGGCUUCCAUGCAAGUUAACACAUGAACCAACCUCAAAAUUUUUAAUCUCGGAUAUCAACACAACAUCAUCGAAAGGGAAACCCUGCAUCCAGAUUCCAUGAACGUGUGGACAUGUUUGCAAACUUCCUACUGGUCCUGUUUUCGAAGAAUUUUGAUUUGUCAACUUGUAGCUCGAUUUCGUUAUAUCUUUUUAAAAUGACGAUUUAAAUUUACCGCCAUAGUAUAUGAUAUGCUGUUAUUCUGUCUUGCAAAUUUUUUUUGAGUUUUAUUUUAUAAGAUAUUCCGCUUUAUUAAAUAUUCGCUUUAUUAUUUCUUUUUAGGUUCAACUUUUGAACAUUUACAUUGUUAAUAUUUGCUAUGUUGUAUUUACAAUUUUAUAUUUAUGUUGUUUGAGACCAUAAAGAACCAUAAUUCUGUUGUUUAUAAUGUAUUUACAACUUUCAUUUGUACAUUAAUUUUUAAUAAAUUGAGAGAAAUAACUUUAAUCUCCCUAAAUUCUAUAUUGGUAUUCCAGGACACUCCGUAGCAAAUGUAAGUUUACGCUACUUACAUGUAUCUAUACAUAGUAAGUUUAAUAACCAUUCCGGAAUUUUUUUCCCCUAGAUGCUUGAAGGAUUUUUUGUUUUUGUUUGUUUGUUUGUUUGUUUGUUUU